GGGGUGGCCAUGGAGCGCCUGUGCUGUCCCGGGCCCCCCGACCUCCAACCUGGCGUCCGGCAACUUAAUAAUCAGGUUAGGAACGACUUCUGAGAUCGUGGUCCAACCCAUGGCCGAACACCACCAUGUCAACCAGACCAUGGCACUGGCCAGUCUUUCCUUAAACACCUCCAGGGACGGUGACCCCACCAUCUCCAUGGGCAGCACACUCCAAUGUCUGAUCACCUUCUGUGAAAAAAUUCCUCUUAAUGUCCAGCCUGAACCUGCCCCGUGCAGUUUAAGACUGUCCUCUUGUCCUGUCUGGUUGCUGGGGAGAGAAGGCUGACCCCCACCUGGCUGCAUUCCUUUCAGGGAAUGGGAGAGUGAUCAGGUCACUGCUGAGCCUCCUCCUCUCCAGGCUGAACAGUCCCAGCUCCCUCAGCUGCUCCUCACAGGAUUUGUGCUGCAGACCCUUCACCAGUUCCAUUGCCCUUCUCUGGACAUGCCCCAGCACCUCAAUGUCCUUCCUGAACUGGGGAUUCCAGAACUGGACACCGUUCUCGUUGUGUGAGAGAGGCAACAGCUCCUGUUUGCAUGUCAACAGCAGUGUAAGGAUGUUGAUGUUGUAAGGAUGUAAGAAAGUGAUGCUGUGGGGAUGAAUCAUGACUUUGCAAACAGCUCCUAUAGCACCAGCCUCCAACCCCACUGAAAAAAAUCUCCCCCCGUCCCCCCAAUAGCUUUAUGCUUGUAAUGUCUGCUUGUUUUGAGGUUUUCCUUGCCUCUGGGCUUGCUGCAAAACCUCUGGUGUCUCUGCACCCUGCUAGCCAAACACCGAUUGCCUCUAAACCAAGACUUUUAACAGUUUUCAGGGAGGUCUAGCAUUGCAUUCAUCUGAAAUUAACACGGAUGGAGAAGCAGCAAGGAUAAUACCAAGGGAAAGAUUUCUGUUCACAGUCCCAGCUGCUGGGUGUGAUGCCUGGUUUUCCACCAGUGGCCAUCCUUGUUCUGCAGAGUGGCUCAUGGGUCUGAUUUUUCAUGUGGUCCUUCUGGCUGGUGUGUGUUUGAAAUGUUCUUGCUGCUGGCUGCCUGCUGAAAGAAGAAUUUGCUUUCCAGCUGUUCGAGAAGGAAAAGAGUGGGGGCGGAACAGUCUGGGCGUUCUCCUGCCCCUGCCAGCUCAGGAGUCCUCUUCCCUCACUGUAGCACCAAGCUCUGCCCUGUGAUCAUGGGGAGAACGCCUUGUUAUUUCUUUCACAGGUUCAGCACUGAAUCCGACCUCCUGGCUGUCCUUUGCCUGGCAGAGCCGUGCUGGAGGCAGGGAAGCAGCCUUAGGGCUUGGGAAGACAAAGCUGUGGUGAUCAUUCAUUUUUUCCUUUUCUGUGGCUGCUGGUGGUGACAAAAAUGAAGCACUGCCUCCUGUGCCGCUCGUUCUCCUACCAUUCCUGCCUCCUGGGCUAAUUCCUUCUCCUUCCUCUUUUGGGCCUCUUGCAACAAGGCAGGCACAGAGCUAAAAUUGUCAAGAGACAGAUAAAAGCUAGGAGAUCAUCAUUUUUUCUUUUCAGACAAGAUAAUUAGGAAGAGAAUCUCUGCGAGGAAGAAGAUCUUUCCAUCAUCAUUACUUUAUCUCCAGGCAGCUACUCUAAUCUCUCCAGGGACACGGCACUUUCAAGCACCGUGUUCUUGCUGUGUUUUUUUUAAUGCUUUAAUCCCUGUGUAGUUCACCCACUUUUACUACCAAGCAGCAAGUGAGUGUGAGCUGGUGUGUUUGUGUGCAUGUGCCUCUGUGCAUGGGGCAGGGGGGAGCACGCUUGUCCAUGUGAUUCUGGGUUCAAAUAAAUGUGCUUUGCUUCUGAUCAA